rnacentral:lncRNA from 1 species
UGAGAGCUGAGUCCUCGUGCAAACAGAAGAUAUUCUGAAGCUUAUCUGUACUGUUCAGACAGAACAAUAUAGAAAUGUACAAUGGAGACAAAGAGAUGGAAUACUACACACAAUUAUUAUGUCAGUGGUAAAGUCCAAUAAUCCAGCUAAGUGGCAAUGAUUUAUACACGUAUUAGAAUUUGUCUUAAGAUCACAAUGAACAUAAUUUAACUUCCACACUUAAGUGUUUAAAAUCUCAAAGGAAGACAUACAUCUGUAGAAUAAAACUGGUAGC